AAUGAACGUUGGCGGCGUGGAUUAGGCAUGCAAGUCGAGCGAGAACCGUAGCAAUACGGGGAAAGCGGCAAACGGGGUGGGAAUACGUCGGUACGUACCCCCAGGUCUGGGAUAGCCACGGGAAACUGUGGGUAAUACCGGAUAAUCUCUUCUUUCGGAAGGAAGUUGAGCAAAGGUGAGACUCCGUCUGGGGAGCGGCUGACGCAGUAUUAGCUAGUUGGUAGGGUAAUGGCCUACCAAGGCGAAGAUGCUUAGGGGGUGUGAGAGCAUGGCCCCCACCACUGGCACUGAGACACUGGCCAGACACUUACGGGUGGCUGCAGUCGAGAAUCUUCGGCAAUGGGCGCAAGCCUGACCGAGCGACGCCGCGUGCGGGAUGAAGGCCCUUGGGUUGUAAACCGCUGUCAGGGGGGAUGAAAUGCAUGGGGGUACUCCCCCAUGUUUGACAGAGCCCCAGAGGAAGCACGGGCUAAGUUCGUGCCAGCCGCCGCAGUAAAAC
rnacentral:rRNA from 1 species